CGGAGCCGUAUGACGUGAGAGUGUCACGUACGGUUCCUUUGAGAAGGGUGUGCUCUUUCUCAUUUCUGUAUUUCUUUCCCAUGACGACUUAGGUCUAAUUCCUAU
rfam:Nicotiana attenuata strain TT chromosome 5, whole genome shotgun sequence.